rnacentral:lncRNA from 1 species
UAAUCCAAAAUUUUUCCUAUCUUCUCUAACAUCUCAACCCCUGGCCAUCUCUCUCAGGAUACUGGCACUGCAAAACAACUUGCUGGACUGGGACAACUUUUUGGUGAAUUUGGAUCACAGGGUUCAGAAGAAGGAGGAGGAGAUGCAGGAGGAGAAGGAGAUGAAGGCACUCCAAAAGAACUUUUUGGACUGGGACAACUGUUUGGUGAAUUUGGAUCACAGGGUUCAGAAGAAGGAGGAGGAGAUGCAGGAGGAGGAGGAGAUGAUGGCACUCCAAAAGAACUUUUUGGACUGGGACAACUGUUUGGUGAAUUUGGAUCACAGAGUUCAGAAGCAGGAGGGGGAGAUGCAGGAG